GACCAGGGGCUGAUCUGAUGGUUCAGCACUAUGAACAGUGGCAUUCCCAUGUCCAGUAAGGUUAACACCACUACUCGAUUACCAGUGCUGCAACAUGUGUGAGUAAUAUUUCCUGUUGGUGACAGUUACAUAAAAUCCUCCUGCAGCAUUAUCCCCAACUUCCAAAGGCUUACCUCAUAUACUGAGGAGAAAGGAGAUGUUCUCACUUACAACAGAGCAUGUAAAACGAUGCUCAGAAAGUGGUCCUUUAUUUGCAUGAAGGAUCAACAGGUGCUGGAUGACUGGCAGGGCCCUGAUACACUCCAUCUGGCUGCUGCUGAUAAGAGCCGCUUCUAGUGCCAGAAACUGCACCAUCUGCUGGUGAGAUGAACAAAGGAAUCCAAGAGAGGAAAAGUGAAGGUUAUCAGGUAAAACACUGACUGUAUAUGGCUGAUUCUCCUCUCAGAGAGAACUUUGU
rnacentral:lncRNA from 1 species